UUGGGAAGAAAUUGUGCUGCAAAUGGCAAACCUCUUCCACUCUUUUCUGGCUGCUAUCUUUUUCUUUGUUCUCAUCUCAGGGGGUUUGGGGAAAACUUGCCAAUUGGACAUAGGAGAUACCUGCACGUUGCAGGCUCCAUCAGUGUGUGAUGGCAUAUGCAGAAACUACAUGGGAGAUGUGUUUGAGUACUCACAAUGUCUGAAUGCACCAGGUCACAAAGAUUUCUACCAUUGCAGGUGCUUUUACAAGUGUAAUGGUUGAAGCCACUCCACUUAAUUGGUGUCUCAAUAUAUUAUCAACUAUUACUUUGCAUUUGUUGGGUGUUGGGGUGUAUUUCAUAAUUAAGGGUUCUUGGUGGCCUCUUGUUGUAAUAAUUUGUUGUCGUGGUUAUUGGCUGUUGUUUUUAUGUUAUUAUAUUUUGUAUGUAUGAUAGAGAAUGGUCGAAAUCUGGAAGGAUCGACUUUAAAAAUUAUAUUAAUAUAAAUUAUAGUAAA